GGUGGAUGCCCUGGCAGUCAGAGGCGAUGAAGGACGUGCUAAUCUGCGAUAAGCGUCGGUAAGGUGAUAUGAACCGUUAUAACCGGCGAUUUCCGAAUGGGGAAACCCAGUGUGAUUCGUCACACUAUCAUUAACUGAAUCCAUAGGUUAAUGAGGCGAACCGGGGGAACUGAAACAUCUAAGUACCCCGAGGAAAAGAAAUCAACCGAGAUUCCCCCAGUAGCGGCGAGCGAACGGGGAGCAGCCCAGAGCCUGAAUCAGUGUGUGUGUUAGUGGAAGCGUCUGGAAAGGCGCGCGAUACAGGGUGACAGCCCCGUACACAAAAAUGCACAUGCUGUGAGCUCGAUGAGUAGGGCGGGACACGUGGUAUCCUGUCUGAAUAUGGGGGGACCAUCCUCCAAGGCUAAAUACUCCUGACUGACCGAUAGUGAACCAGUACCGUGAGGGAAAGGCGAAAAGAACCCCGGCGAGGGGAGUGAAAAAGAACCUGAAACCGUGUACGUACAAGCAGUGGGAGCACGCUUAGGCGUGUGACUGCGUACCUUUUGUAUAAUGGGUCAGCGACUUAUAUUCUGUAGCAAGGUUAACCGAAUAGGGGAGCCGAAGGGAAACCGAGUCUUAACUGGGCGUUAAGUUGCAGGGUAUAGACCCGAAACCCGGUGAUCUAGCCAUGGGCAGGUUGAAGGUUGGGUAACACUAACUGGAGGACCGAACCGACUAAUGUUGAAAAAUUAGCGGAUGACUUGUGGCUGGGGGUGAAAGGCCAAUCAAACCGGGAGAUAGCUGGUUCUCCCCGAAAGCUAUUUAGGUAGCGCCUCGUGAAUUCAUCUCCGGGGGUAGAGCACUGUUUCGGCAAGGGGGUCAUCCCGACUUACCAACCCGAUGCAAACUGCGAAUACCGGAGAAUGUUAUCACGGGAGACACACGGCGGGUGCUAACGUCCGUCGUGAAGAGGGAAACAACCCAGACCGCCAGCUAAGGUCCCAAAGUCAUGGUUAAGUGGGAAACGAUGUGGGAAGGCCCAGACAGCCAGGAUGUUGGCUUAGAAGCAGCCAUCAUUUAAAGAAAGCGUAAUAGCUCACUGGUCGAGUCGGCCUGCGCGGAAGAUGUAACGGGGCUAAACCAUGCACCGAAGCUGCGGCAGCGACGCUUAUGCGUUGUUGGGUAGGGGAGCGUUCUGUAAGCCUGUGAAGGUGUGCUGUGAGGCAUGCUGGAGGUAUCAGAAGUGCGAAUGCUGACAUAAGUAACGAUAAAGCGGGUGAAAAGCCCGCUCGCCGGAAGACCAAGGGUUCCUGUCCAACGUUAAUCGGGGCAGGGUGAGUCGACCCCUAAGGCGAGGCCGAAAGGCGUAGUCGAUGGGAAACAGGUUAAUAUUCCUGUACUUGGUGUUACUGCGAAGGGGGGACGGAGAAGGCUAUGUUGGCCGGGCGACGGUUGUCCCGGUUUAAGCGUGUAGGCUGGUUUUCCAGGCAAAUCCGGAAAAUCAAGGCUGAGGCGUGAUGACGAGGCACUACGGUGCUGAAGCAACAAAUGCCCUGCUUCCAGGAAAAGCCUCUAAGCAUCAGGUAACAUCAAAUCGUACCCCAAACCGACACAGGUGGUCAGGUAGAGAAUACCAAGGCGCUUGAGAGAACUCGGGUGAAGGAACUAGGCAAAAUGGUGCCGUAACUUCGGGAGAAGGCACGCUGAUAUGUAGGUGAAGCGACUUGCUCGUGGAGCUGAAAUCAGUCGAAGAUACCAGCUGGCUGCAACUGUUUAUUAAAAACACAGCACUGUGCAAACACGAAAGUGGACGUAUACGGUGUGACGCCUGCCCGGUGCCGGAAGGUUAAUUGAUGGGGUCAGCGCAAGCGAAGCUCUUGAUCGAAGCCCCGGUAAACGGCGGCCGUAACUAUAACGGUCCUAAGGUAGCGAAAUUCCUUGUCGGGUAAGUUCCGACCUGCACGAAUGGCGUAAUGAUGGCCAGGCUGUCUCCACCCGAGACUCAGUGAAAUUGAACUCGCUGUGAAGAUGCAGUGUACCCGCGGCAAGACGGAAAGACCCCGUGAACCUUUACUAUAGCUUGACACUGAACAUUGAGCCUUGAUGUGUAGGAUAGGUGGGAGGCUUAGAAGUGUGGACGCCAGUCUGCAUGGAGCCGACCUUGAAAUACCACCCUUUAAUGUUUGAUGUUCUAACGUUGACCCGUAAUCCGGGUUGCGGACAGUGUCUGGUGGGUAGUUUGACUGGGGCGGUCUCCUCCUAAAGAGUAACGGAGGAGCACGAAGGUUGGCUAAUCCUGGUCGGACAUCAGGAGGUUAGUGCAAUGGCAUAAGCCAGCUUGACUGCGAGCGUGACGGCGCGAGCAGGUGCGAAAGCAGGUCAUAGUGAUCCGGUGGUUCUGAAUGGAAGGGCCAUCGCUCAACGGAUAAAAGGUACUCCGGGGAUAACAGGCUGAUACCGCCCAAGAGUUCAUAUCGACGGCGGUGUUUGGCACCUCGAUGUCGGCUCAUCACAUCCUGGGGCUGAAGUAGGUCCCAAGGGUAUGGCUGUUCGCCAUUUAAAGUGGUACGCGAGCUGGGUUUAGAACGUCGUGAGACAGUUCGGUCCCUAUCUGCCGUGGGCGCUGGAGAACUGAGGGGGGCUGCUCCUAGUACGAGAGGACCGGAGUGGACGCAUCACUGGUGUUCGGGUUGUCAUGCCAAUGGCACUGCCCGGUAGCUAAAUGCGGAAGAGAUAAGUGCUGAAAGCAUCUAAGCACGAAACUUGCCCCGAGAUGAGUUCUCCCUGACUCCUUGAGAGUCCUGAAGGAACGUUGAAGACGACGACGUUGAUAGGCCGGGUGUGUAAGCGCAGCGAUGCGUUGAGCUAACCGGUACUAAUGAACCGUGAGGCUUAACCUU
rnacentral:rRNA from 1 species